CCGCAAGAAAACAGACAGCGACAGACGGGAAAUUCCUGCGAGGGAUCCACGAGUGUCUUAAUAGCGCAGGAAUGCGCGAGGACAAUUUCAUGACUGUCAAAAGACUUCGGCAAAAUAAAUCCGCGCACGCCGUGCCAGGUUCCUGAUCUCCCAUGUACCGACCCCAGUGUGCCCACUGACCUGCCUCUCACGCCUGACGACCAUGUUACUGCUGCUUCCGUGGACUGCCAGCUUGAUCCCCGACACUGGACUGAAUAAAAAUGUUUCCCGAACCCACUCCACAUCUCCUGAGUCGUGCAUUUGGGUCCAUCCCCGUCUUCUGGUCGUGACAGAAGUGUCACUCUGUCCAGUUUUUGUGGCCUGGUGUGGAUCAAGCUCGGUGCAUGUGUGUGUCCCAGGGCCCCAGACCACACCCCACCCCCAGUCCCACCACCACCUCUACGGUGGGCCCAGGUGAUGGAUGACACCUGGAAGCCAAGGAGCUGUAGUUUACUUGGCUGGAGCAGCUACUACACUGUUAUUGAUGAUGGAUGUUUGUGUGCAUGUGUCUGUGUGUGUAGAUAAUGUCUGGAAAGAAUGAAUGACAGCUCACCUGUGUGUGUGCACGCGUGAACCUCGUUCCAGAUGUUAAUCCGGCAUUACUGAUUACAAGGUGACUAGCAAGUGAAGGGAACUAUUUCAUACUAUAGCAAAGUGGGAGGGGGGCAGGGACACACACACACACACACACACUUCUUCCCUUAAACGUGUGUUUAUUCAACCCCCUCACCGCGCAUCUAGAAUUUCAGAAGCAUGCACCAAGUGUAAGGUCAGGACGGAGAGCCCAGUUUAGGUUGCAGCCUUUCGCUGCUGCGCUUUGACCCCGGUGAAAAAAAUCAUCCAUCAGUCCGCAGGUAAGAGAAACACACCCAAAGAGCGCAAACAAAAGAGGGCUCCCGACAAAAACCGAGAGGGCGCUUUGGGAAUAGUCUCAGAUGAGGCUAAGAAAUGAAAAAUGUUCAAGUCUUGCACAGGGAGGCCUCGGUCUACGACUGAGAUUCGUUCCUACAGUAGCGACUUAACUCGGACUUCGACUUAAGUCGGAUUCCGCCAUUUAAGUCGGGAUUUACAUCAAAAUCCUUUGCAUCAAAAAAGAAAUACAUUGAAAUAAACAAGAUGAUGUAUUUAGCAUGACUGCUGAGAGGUGGAUGGAGGAGAAGAAGAAGGGGACGCUGUGCUUAGCUAUCGCGAAGGAACCUGGUCCUCAAUCGUCUCCAUCUCGACAAGUAUCAAAGAACCUAAUUUUGUGAUCAUUGUAUCCGACAUGGGAACAGAAUCCUUCACAUGCGCUAAAAUACGGGCUUUAUCUUUGAUAAUUGUCACCACGGUCAACCGACUGAAGCCUUGGUGGUGUUGGUGUCUCUCCUUUCUCCAAUCGUUUUAUGAUCUUGAGCUUCGGUUCCAUGGUAAUUAAUUUUCUUAUGGCUUCAGAACCAUUGCUAAAAGACACAGCUUUCUUCUUUGGGGCCAUAAUGUCUUAAACGGAAAGAAGAAAAACGCGAAGAUACUUCCGGCGCACAAACACGGACAAGCAUUAGCCAGACAAAAUGGGGGCUGGGGGACGGGCGUUGUAAAGUCUUAGGUCGAGACCGUAUUAACCCGAAGACUCCCUCUACUUCAUAUUUUAGAAGCAAAGCUGCUUCACAAUUUGAAGUCAGGGAUUUAAAAUGAUCCUCUCAGUGCCCUUAUGAGGGUUUAACCUCAGAAUUUAAGGACAUGUUACUGUAUGAGAAGACCAGUUCAAAAUAGUCUAAAAAAACAGGGACAUUUUUUUACGGUAGACUCAUGCAAAGGCCAAAGCGCUGCAGCGCCGACCUUUUACCUUUGACCGGCGUGUAAUUAGCUUAUUCACAUUGAGCAUUUACAGAUAUUCCGUCAGUUCCUCACUGAAUUUAAAGACACACCUGAAAAGAUUCCUUUUGCCCAAACUGUAAAGUCAAAACAUUAUCCGAUUUUACUUUUAAUCGGUUUAUCUCCGGGCCUUGCGGCAACCGAGUGGUUAGCGUCUGUCUUCCGAGGUUCUGAGGAAUUACAUCUCGCCUUCGACCUUCCUGAAUGGAGUUUCCAUGCUCUCUCUGUUUGUGGAGGUGUUUUCCGGGUAUUUCAAGAGGUUUAUAUACAUACCUGACAACUCGUAUGGUUUAGCCGUAGUUCAUACGGAUUUUGUGGUGAAUCUUACGUAUACGGCCGUAUAUCACAAAUCAUACGGAUUCUGAAAAUUUCCAUUUGCUUUUGCCCGGAAUGGCGCUAGUCUACUCUCUUGUGGGGACAACCCAAAGCUGGGGAAUUCCAAACGUAGACCUGCAUCAAAGAUUUUCGUCGCAGCAGGCAUGAUGUUAAGCGCAGCAGCAAAUGUUGAUUUGGAUUAGCAAAAUACUUACAUUUCCG